ACGAACGCUGGCGGCGUGCUUAACACCUGCAAGUCGAACGGAAAGGCCCUGCUUUUGUGGGGUGCUCGAGUGGCGAACGGGUGAGUAACACGUGAGUAACCUGCCCUUGACUUUGGGAUAACUUCUGGAAACUGGGGCUAAUACCGGAUAGGAGCUCCUGCUGCAUGGUGGGGGUUGGAAAGUUUCGGCGGUUGGGGAUGGACUCGCGGCUUAUCAGCUUGUUGGUGGGGUAGUGGCUUACCAAGGCUUUGACGGGUAGCCGGCCUGAGAGGGUGACCGGCCACAUUGGGACUGAGAUACGGCCCAGACUCCUACGGGAGGCAGCAGUGGGGAAUAUUGCACAAUGGGCGGAAGCCUGAUGCAGCAACGCCGCGUGCGGGAUGACGGCCUUCGGGUUGUAAACCGCUUUCGCCUGUGACGAAGCGUGAGUGACGGUAAUGGGUAAAGAAGCACCGGCUAACUACGUG
rnacentral:rRNA from 1 species